AUGGAGAGGUCGGCCCUUUGGGUCCCUCGCUCACACUCUGGAUGCAAUGCGCCCACCGCGGUGCUAGUCUCGGCCUCUGGCCUUGACAAUCCUUUGUAACCCUUUGACACGCGUAUUCGAAGAUGCGAUAUAAAUUACAACCAGUAGCGUUGGAUCCCUUGGCACGUCAUUCGAUGAAGACCGUUGCAAAAUGCGAUAAGUGGUGUGAUAUGCAAGUCCAAAACUUAUACGUGAACCAUCGAAUUGUUGAACGCACUGCAUCGAGCCUUAUCCAGGAACGAUACGCCCCAUUGAGCGUCAUUACGUCUUCGCGACUUGUCUCUUCUGACAUGUCCGGGUUCGGGAUUCACGGCCCUCGGGUCGCGCUUCCUUAGAUGCAUGGUGGCGCCGGAGCGAGCGGGCGACCUUGUCAUGAAUGUCGAGGUGUGCCGUCGAGCUCUUGAGCGCAGGAUCCACUGCUUGGCCUUUGGAUCAGAAUGCGCAGAGAUGCGCAACUUCUCCACAUGACCUCACGGGGGUGGGACGACCCGCUAGACUUA
rnacentral:rRNA from 1 species